rnacentral:rRNA from 1 species
UACGGAGGGUGCAAGCGUUAAUCGGAAUUACUGGGCGUAAAGCGCGCGUAGGUGGUUUGUUAAGUUGGAUGUGAAAUCCCCGGGCUCAACCUGGGAACUGCAUCCAAAACUGGCAAGCUAGAGUAGGGCAGAGGGUGGUGGAAUUUCCUGUGUAGCGGUGAAAUGCGUAGAGAUCGGGAGGAACACCAGUGGCGAAGGCGGCUACCUGGACCAGCACUGACACUGAGUCACGAAAGCGUGGGGAGCAAACAGG